AUGAGAUUGUUGGGAGCUGACACAGCCACACAUGGUAGCAGGCGGGUAGCGUCUGCUCUGCUGCCACACAUGGAUUUCUUUCAGGGCCUGGGUUUCUCAUGCUUGCCUACUUCCAUCAUGAGUCAUGGCAGACGAACCACACUUGAGGAACAAGUUGCAACUAACGAGAGGUCAGCAACAAGUUCACUAGUAGAGGUUGCUGAAGUUCUUGAGGAGGUCCGGGAUGUCGUGCGCGAGCAUGUCGUCCACGGCCUGCACCAUCUUGGGCGUGAUCUUCUCAAACUUGUCGAUGCUGUACCGAGUCAGCACCUGCUUCAAGUGCUCCACAUCGAGGAAGUCGCCCGCCAGAAGGUGGUACUCCCUCUGGACCUGUUUCCAAUACAUCUCAGGUGUCAAUGGAGCGAGCACAUUGUGCAGAAAAGAGGCAACUUAUUAAUCAAGAUGCAAGCGUAG
rnacentral:rRNA from 1 species